rnacentral:misc_RNA from 1 species
GAUGAAGAACGUAGUGAAAUGCGAUACUUGGUGUGAAUUGCAGAAUCCCGUGAACCAUCGAGUCUUUGAACGCAAGUUGCGCCCGAAGCCAUUAGGCCGAGGGCACGCCUGCCUGGGCGUCACACGUCGUUGCCCCCCCCAUCUACUCCUUCGGGAUUGCGGGGGGCGGAUGAUGGCCUCCCGUGUGCCUCGCCGCGCGGUUGGCAUAAAUGCCAUGUCCUCGGCGACGCACGCCACGACAAUCGGUGGUUGCGAAACCUCGGUUGCCCGUCGUGUGCGGUCGUCGCGCAUCGAGGGCUCGAAAAAAUUGCCGGGUUCCGGCUCGGCUUUCAACGCGACCCCAGGUCAGGCGGGGUUACCCGCUGAAUUUAAGCAUAUCAAUAAGCGGAGGA